CUCCCUCUCUCAUUCUGUAGGGUUUUUAUGUCCAUCUCUUCUCAAUUGUUUCCUCCAUGCCAUUUGCGAAUUUUCUAUUACUCUCUCUUGUUGUUAGCCUAAGGUUUUGGUUUAAUUUUCAGGUGCUUUUGGACUAUUUCCACUGGGGGUUUGGAGUUUUUUUCGAUCUAUCUCUUGAUUGGUGUUGUGUGAGAGCCGACACUGAUAGGUGUUUUAUAAGCCCUAAGAUUCAAGUGUCUUUGAUAGCAGAAACAGUUACUUUUUCAUCUUGUUAAUGGUGGUUGGAAGUGAUGAUCCUUUCCCCAGAUGAUCGACUCUGAUUAUACUGAGCUUUUGAUUAUUCUUCUCUUUGGAGAAGAUCCAAGCCAGAAACCUGAUCCAUCCACCUACUAUUAUUACAUCAAAACAAUAUUUUCUAUUAUUAUGUUGUUGGUUUUACAAGUUUUUACGCUUUAUUACUAUCCGGGGUUUUCUGACUUCUGUGGUAUUAGGUGCAAGUUUCUCCACUGAUCGACUCUGUUUAAAUUGUGCUUGCUUUAAUCUUCUCAUCUUGUUUAGUGGAGAUUCAAUACUCGAAAAAUUUUCGAUAUUUUGUCGCGUUUUUCAACUGUUUGUUUAUCCAAAAAGAAAUCGUAAGGAAGGCCAUUGAUCGAAGCCAGUCUUGUCGAAAUAUAGAACUUUUGGAUCAUCGAUGGUUUAAGCAUGAAGAAAUUGUUCUUCAUUUGGGAGUACGUUUCUUUAAUAUUGUUUUAGGACGGGUAACAAGCCCGGAGAAGGAAGGGGAUGAAUUGUUCACUUUAGUUCAGAUGAAGAUGCAGGGGUUUUCUGUGGCAAUCAGUAGAGAUGCUCUGGGAAGUAGAAAGAUGCAAGAACAACAUACGAGCGUUUCGACCGUUAUCAUCUCGUUACAUCAUAAAUCGGAUUUAAAAUUCAUAAUUAUAUUUUAAUUAAAAAUAAUAUAAGAUGUUAUCGUUAUUUAAUAUAACGAUAACGUAAUAAGCUCCCGUUAUAAUUAACUGAUAAUUAACCUAAUAAGCUCCCGUUCAUUUCUAUCAGCCUUUUGUUCUCCUAAACCAUCAAAUCAGAUGUCUCCGAUUUCUAGUCUGAUUGGUACAUCACCAACACUUGACAAAAUUAGCAAAAAGACUAUUUUAUCGUUAUUUUUCAUUCAAAUGAAAUAGAACCACUGUAGAUGUAUCAGUCUUUUGUUCUUCUGGGCGGCUUUGCCAUCAAACCAGAUAUCACCGGUUUCUGGUUCAUCACCACUACUCUUAGUUGAAAAAACCAGAAUUUUCAAUUGGAAUCAACUAGUUUAGUUUAACAACUUGUAAAGGUUCCAUUCAGAAUUUUUGAAAAUAUAAAUGAGCCCAGCCUAAAAGCCCAAGUCAGAAUUCUUCCAAAAUUGGAGGCAUGGGUGAAACUCUUGUAAAGAUCCAUUUUGAAUUUUUGAAAAUAUAAAUGAGCCCAACCUAAAAGCCUAGGUUUGAAGCAGGCUUUUGGUAUCCUUAAGUCAGAACUCUUCCAAAAUUCGAGGCAUGGGUGAAACUCAUGUACCCAUAGUCUCUCUGUGGUAAUUAGAGGCAUGGGUUACCGUAGUCUCUCCCUGGGUAAGUAGCAUAUGCAGAAAGUCAUACUUAAGAUGCUAGACAUGGCAUGCCAUAUUUUGGUGUCACAGUGUUUGCUACAUAUUUGUCUACAUGUGUUUGAGAAUGAAAUGAGGUCAGCCGCUUUUGCUUUUGUGCGUAAGGGAAGUACACGGAUUGAUCAGCCCCAGGGGCAGCAAUGUUGAAUUUGG